GUUUCUGCGCUUUUGGCUGCCCCUGCUCAAGAUGGUCAGCUCACCAUCAUUUAUACAAAUCUUCCUCGAGAAGCUUUUCAUGAAGCAGAAGCUGCUCACCAAAGAGCCCUAUGGUCACAGGGCUUUUUACAUCGCGGCCUGGAUUUCAGAGGUCCUCCUGUGCAAUUGGAAGAAAGGUGCCAGGAGCAAGGACAGGAUCUUUAGGAACUGGAUCCAGCUAAAGUGGAUGGACUUAAUAUCGUUGUGCAUAGAUGUCCCCUCCAUCAGCAUGCCUCACCUGCUCCAGUUAAUCCUGGAUGACAUGGAGCACUGAAAUCUGUUUAAAGGUCGUAUUAAAAGGAAGCAAGCUGAGCACUGGAAGGAGAGAGGCCCUAGAUUGGAAGAGGAACGCAUGAAGGCCAGGUGGAAAAGAGGGAGCCGCUGCGUGAUCGUGGGGGGUGCGACGCCUCUUCUGGAGACCGGUCAGCGUGAUGUGGUGACCCAGUCCCGACAGCAGGAACGGCGACAGUAGGAGACAACGCAUGUGAUUGACAUCAGGGCAGAUGUAUAACACUGCCUGCAUUUGUGAUGACGUGAGGGGAGCCGCGGUGGUAUCGAGCGACAGACUCCAAUGCAGAAUGCUAACUGGGCUGGGAUGUGAUGGGCCCAGUGGACGGACGAGACUGGGACAGGAGGCUCCUCGUCUGCCUGGCACACGGCUGGCGUGGACCCCGCUCAGCAAGAGGAAUUUCUGUCCAGCUCAAGAACACAAGGAAUAUUCGUCCUGGGUUGUGGGACUGGGUGGGAUUUUUGUGCAUGAAGAGAAUUGUAUUUUGACCAAUUUUAGAAUAAUCUUAUCUAGUCUCAGUGGGAAUUUUAGCAUAUUGAGAAUAUUUUAUUAUAUAAUUUAUUUCUUAGUAUCUGGUUUGUUUUAUUCCUGCUGUCCACCUUGUGGAAUAAACAGUUUCUGAUCAGACAAUCACUUCUGUGUUAUAAUGUUAACUGAAGUUUAUCAGGUCAGAUGACCAAUAGAUGAUAAGAAAUAUACUCUUAGCAAUUAUUAGAGUUGAAAAGUACUUUGCAAAUCAAAGUACUAAAUCGGGUUAGGUUGAGGCUUAAUCCUUCACCUUAAAUGGUUCAGAUGGUCUCUAAAUGGAUGAAUGAAACAAUACUUUCCUGUCAAAAACAAUAUUUUAGUCAGGGCUAGCGGAAAGUUUCAUAUAUAUCAUGAACAUCUUUCCUCUUUGUCUUCCUAUAGUUUAGUUUCAUUUUCUUACCCCAUCCCCAACCGGUGGAGGCAGAUGGCCGCCCCUCCCUGAGCCUGGUUCUGCCGAAAAUGGAGUUUUUCCUUCCCACUGUUGCCAAAUUCUUGCUCAUAGGGGAUCAUUUGAUUGUUGGGGCUUUCUCUGUAUUAUUGCACAACCUUUAUCUUUCCAUAUAUUUCACAUUUAUAUGUUGUGAAUUGGCUUGAUUUAAAUCAAAUUGAACUGCAUUCAAUUAAAACCAAAUAUAACUUGUAAUCGAUUCUAUUCAAAUGUGAAGUCAUCUCACUCAAUUUGGACAACUAGCACUGAAAAAUACACUGACAUCCUCUGUUUCCCAAUUAGCAGAUCAGAGGUUGCUGUUUUAUUCAUGACUCGAUUCUUGAAUGGUUUUAUCCUGUUUAUAAAUAAACAUUUUAAAAUGACAUUGCUUCAUUGUAUGAUUAACUCUUUGUCUGUGUCAGUCCUUAGUACACACACAUGUAUCUAAUAAUUCUAGUUGCCACAGUCUCCGGAGAUCCUAUGCUCUGUUUUCUCAUACUUUUCUUCAAUGUUUACCUCAUUCUGCC
rnacentral:lncRNA from 1 species